rnacentral:rRNA from 1 species
UCUGGUUCAGGAUGAACGCUAGCGACAGGCUAACACAUGCAAGUCGAGGGGCAGCAUAAAAGUAGCAAUACUUGGUGGCGACCGGCGCACGGGUGAGUAACGCGUAUGCAACCUACCUAUCAGAGGGGAAUAACCCGGCGAAAGUCGGACUAAUACCGCAUAAAACAGGGGCACCGCAUGGUGAUAUUUGUUAAGAAAUUCGCUGAUAGAUGGGCAUGCGUUCCAUUAGGUAGUUGGUGAGGUAACGGCUCACCAAGCCGACGAUGGGUAGGGAACUGAGAGGUUGGUCCCCCACACUGGUACUGAGACACGGACCAGACUCCUACGGGAGGCAGCAGUGAGGAAUAUUGGUCAAUGGGCGGGAGCCUGAACCAGCCAAGUCGCCGUGAAGGAAGAAGGAUCUAUGGUUCGUAAACUUCUUUUGCAGGGGAAUAAAGUGCAGGACGUGUCCUGUUUUGUAUGUACCCUGAGAAUAAGGAUCGGCUAACUCCGUGCCAGCCGCCGC